UUCUUUCUUUCUUUCUUUCUUUCUUUCUUCCCUCUCCUUGCUUGUUUGAAGUACUUCUUUCUAUCUCGACGGGGAGGUCGGCAGAAGAAGAAAGAAAAACAGUGGAGGCGAUCCGAACACACAAAAGCGAACAGAACGGAGAGGGAGGCAUGAUUUUUCUGUAUUUUCGCAAAAAUGAAAGCACAAAAAA
rnacentral:ribozyme from 11 species